rnacentral:rRNA from 1 species
CGGCGGACGGGUGAGUAACGCGUGGGUAACCUGCCUCGUACAGGGGGAUAACAGUUGGAAACGGCUGCUAAUACCGCAUAAGCGCACAGUACCGCAUGGUACCGUGUGAAGAACUCCGGUGGUAUGAGAUGGACCCGCGUCUGAUUAGCUAGUUGGUGGGGUAACGGCCUACCAAGGCGACGAUCAGCAGCCGACCUGAGAGGGUGACCGGCCACAUUGGGACUGAGACACGGCCCAA